UGCACCUCUGGGUGAAGGCCUGGCAUCCACCAGCUGUGUCCACACCAUUUAAGAAUCAACCACCAGCUUUACAACGGGGUCACUUUCCAACAAGAGCAAAAAAGUAUUUUGGAUGUACUUACUAUAUUCUGAUUCUCAAAUAAUGACUUGGGAGCAGCCUGAGCUUUACAUGUCUUCAGGAGACUAACUUGUAAGAACUAAUGGGAAGCUGGAAAAAUAGUAAUACAACAGAUUAAAUCUUUUUGGCCUAUAACC